GCACCCGUAGCUCAAUUGGAUAGAGCGUCUGACUACGGAUCAGAAGGUUGAGAGUUCGAAUCUUUCCGGGUGUA
rnacentral:tRNA from 1 species